rnacentral:tRNA from 1 species
GCUCUCAUAGUUCAAUGGAUAGAACAGAAGUUUCCGGAACUUCCGAUGUGGGUUCGAUUCCCCCUGAGAGCA